rnacentral:rRNA from 1 species
GUAAACCCCUGUUAGAGGUCAUGAAUGCCGGCAAGGGCUGGAGAGUAACCUCGGACGAAGCCCCAGCCAAAUGCCUUGCCGGGGCCGCGGAAAUACGUAUGGGGCGAGCUUUGCGCGGAAUUACUGGGCGUAAAGGGUGUGCAGGCGGCUGGUUAAAUCCAGGAUGAAAUCCCGAGGCUCAACUUCGGAACUGUCCUUGAUACUGAUCAGCUUGAGGCUAGUUGAUGAGAGCGGAAUUCCCGGUGGACCGGUGAAUUGCGUAGAUAUCCGGAGGAACACCAGAGGCGUAGGCGGCUCUCUAACCUUGACCUGACGCUGAGACGCGAAAGCAAGGGUUGCAAACGCGAUUAAAUCCCCCGGUAGUCCUAGCCGUAAACGAUGGACACUAGAUGUUCCCGCGUUCAGUUGGGAGUGUCGUAUUUAACGCGUUAAUUGUCCCGCCUGGGGAGUACGGUCGCAAGGAUGAAACUCAAAGGAAUUGACGGGGAA